GCAGUCGUGGCCGAGUGGUUAAGGCGAUGGACUCGAAAUCAUUGGGGUCUCCCGCGCAGGUUCGAAUCCUGCCGGAUGCG
rnacentral:tRNA from 1 species